CUCGGAUCAGGUAGGAAUACCCGCUGAACUUAAGCAUAUCAAUAAGCGGAGGAA
rnacentral:rRNA from 1 species